CAAAUGCGAUACGCAAUGCGAAUUGCAGAAUUCCGCGAGUCAUCAGAUCUUUGAACGCAAAUGGCGCUCGGUUAAACAAUACCCGAGCAUGUUUGUUUCAGUGUGUUCGGAAUCAUAUAUCAAAAUGCGAUUGAAUUUCAUUAUUCUCUCGUUAAAUACGAAAGCACUGAAUUGUUCAGUGCCAAUCGAAGUAGUCACUUCUUUGCAAGUGAUCUCGAUUGUGCAUAACUGAAGAUUCAUUUAAAGUGUCUUUUUUAUAUAAUUAUUAUUCUCCACUCCACACCUGAAAUCAAGCAAGAUCACCCGCUGAACUUAA
rnacentral:misc_RNA from 1 species